rnacentral:rRNA from 1 species
GAGGUAAUAUUGGUCAAUGGGCGCAAGCCUGAACCAGCCAUCCCGCGUGAAGGAAGAAGGCCCUACGGGUUGUAAACUUCUUUUCUGUUUGAAGAAUAAGCUCGUCGAGACGAGUGAUGCCGGUAGGACAGGAAUAAGCAUCGGCUAACUCCGUGCCAGCAGCCGCGGUAAUACGGAGGAUGCAAGCGUUAUCCGGAUUUAUUGGGUUUAAAGGGUGCGCAGGUGGUUUAAUAAGUCAGUGGUGAAAGUCUGGCGCUUAACGUUAGGAUUGCCAUUGAUACUGUUAGACUUGAAUAUGGAUGAGGUAGGCGGAAUGUGUAGUGUAGCGGUGAAAUGCUUAGAUAUUACACAGAACACCGAUUGCGAAGGCAGCUUACUAAUCCAUCAUUGACGCUGAGGCACGAAAGCGUGGGGAUCAAACAGGAUUAGAUACCCUGGUAGUCCACGCUGUAAACGAUGAUCACUCGCUGUUUGCGAUAUACAGUAAGCGGCUAAGCGAAAGCGUUAAGUGAUCCACCUGGGGAGUACGAUCGCAAGGUUGAAACUCAAAGGAAUUGACUGGGGCCCGCACAAGCGGAGGAGCAUGUGGUUUAAUUCGACGCAACGCGAAGAACCUUACCUGGGCUUGACAUCCGUGGAACCUGGUGGAAACACCGGGGUGCCUUCGGGAGCCACGAGACAGGUGCUGCAUGGUUGUCGUCAGCUCGUGUCGUGAGAUGUUGGGUUAAGUCCCGCAACG